rnacentral:rRNA from 1 species
UACAGAGGGCGCGAGCGUUGUCCGGAAUCACUGGGCGUAAAGGGCGCGUAGGUGGCCACCAUAAGGCCGCGGUGAAAGUUCGGGGCUCAACCCCGGAUCGGCCGCGGCGACUGUGGGGCUCGGGUACUGUAGAGGCAGAUGGAAUUCCGGGUGUAGCGGUGGAAUGCGUAGAGAUGUGGAGGAACACCGAUGGCGAAGGCAGCCCCCUGGGUCAAGAUUGACGCUCAUGCACGAAAGCGUGGGGAGCAAACAGG